rnacentral:tRNA from 1 species
GGGCGCGUCGCAUAGUGGCAAUUGCUCGGCGCUGUAGACGCCGCGGUCUUAGACCUUCGGGGGUUCGAGUCCCUCCGCGCCCA